rnacentral:misc_RNA from 1 species
GAAGCCCGGGGCGCCUGUGCGGGGCCCGAAGUCUCGGGCCCCCUCGAUGCUCGAGUGUCCGUAGCUCCCCCGGGCUCU